UAGCACAUAUCAUAGCUGUAAGACUGGUUUUAUUUUUAUUUCAAAUCGAUAUCCUACUUGCACUUUUACUUGAAUGUAAGUUUCUUAAAAGAAAACAAGGCUGUACUCAAAAUUCAGUGGAAUUUAAUAGAUUUUACAGUUAUUCCAAAUGCAUGAUAAAAUCUUCACUAAAUGUUAAAUCAUUAUAAACAUUUGCAUUCUGGCUCCACUAAAGCAAAUAUGGUUCAAAGUUACGAUUUACACUAACAUGCAUAGAUAUGCUACUUCGCUAGUUAAAUAGGUAGCCCUCAAUUUACAGCCAUAAUUGGGACUAGAAUUUCGGUUCUUAAGCAGUGUGGUCAUUAAAAAAGACAUCAUGUAACUAAUAUCACUUAGUGAUCGCAAUCUCAGCUAUCCUCUUGCUGUUAAGCAAAUGUUACCGGUCAUUAUUUGAGGACCCACCCCAAUCCAAGCCAUUCUGGGCUUGGUUCCUCCCAUCCCCAAGCCUCAGUAAGAUAAGGAAUUGCCAACAUCCCCCCAUUCACCCAUCUCUGCCCUUUGGGCUACCCUGCACUUUUCUUCCCCUCCCCCCCUUUUUUUGCAGUCCAAAGCCAGCCCCAUAUAGACCAAAGUUGUAGCAAAAAGGUGCACUCCGACUCAAGGAGUAGCUGCUUUGCACUCCCUACUCCCCUCCCCGCCUUUUUUUAAAAACUGCAUGAAGCCAGGUCCAUGCAGCCCAGCAGUUAGGCCAGAUAUGCCUUGUCAGCAGCAGAAACAAGAAGGUGGAAAAGGUGAGCUGGGGUAGAGUGCAAGGUGGCAGGGAGCCAAAAGGGCCCAGGUGGUGGGAGAUAGCUAGGUGGAAGUAGUUGCAGUGUCCUUGCAUUCCUAAGUUCAUGGAUUCUGAUCAUGUGAUCUUAGGGGUGCUGCAACAACAACAAAACUUCGAACAGUGGCUAAAAGAACUGCCUAUACAAAAGUAAAUUCACAUAUGACAGUGAUUAUUGUAAAUUCAAGUAAACUUCCCAAGAAGUAAAACCUAUCAAAUUCAAGACUAUUCAAUGUUUUACUAAAAGUGGAUAAUCCUUUUUAUUAGAAUUCAACACAUUUAUAAUAGUAAAGUAUCAGAAAAAUCAAAUAUUUUAAACCUUGAUUUGAAGGUCAGUUACAAUCUGGAAUCUACCCUUUUCACCACCAGAUGUUAGUUUCAGUAGGCAAGAAAAACUGAUUUCAGGUAGUAGAUCCAUGUCAACAUCUUUAUUUAAAUUUCCUAGUACAUUUUUGGAGGAAAAGUGUUGUACCAAUUUACAUUGCAGUGUUUCAUGAAAACCUAUAACCGUGUAAGUAAUAAAGAAAUGAGUGCAAAUGAUUAUUCCGGACCUGACCUACCUUCAGUCUAAUCCUAAUUUUACAUUUUUCUGGCUUUCAGCUACUAAUCAUAUCAAAUUAUAAAUUCAAGUAUUUUAAUUAGAAAUUACUGCAUUGCUUCUUCACUAAAUGAAAAGGAUCAAAGAAAAUAUUUUUAAGGCCUUUAACGAAUUGACUUAGCAUAAACGCUAUGGUGAAAAAAAUAUUUCCGUGUAAGGUAUUCUCAUUUGAGCUCUUUGUUUUGUGCUGUGAUUUACCUGAAGAUGCAAAACAGUUUAGAAUUCUUAAAAAAAGAUUUGUAGCAAAACUGCAAAUAAAAUAUCUAUAGAAGAGUUUUGAUUUAAAAUUAAGGAUGUCUAUUUGUAUCUUUCAAUUUGGAAAUCAAUUUAUUCUAAGAUAGAGAAAAAAAAAGUGUAUAAUUUUGUUGCAAUGUAAGUUCAAAACAUUUUAAGUUAUCAGUACUACACAACUCAGAAAUCUAUAUAUUUCAUCUAAUACAUUUCACCCUUAAGUUAGUUUAUCACUUAUCAAGGCUUCUUCAGAAUAAACUUAGAUUUUUAUCCUGGCUAUUGCAAAUGGCAUGUCUCAGUAUAGUAUUUAAUGUGAUUUUUAUGAGCAGAAGUUUCAUCUUCAUAUCAAUCUGGCUUUGUAAGCAGCACCUCACAAAAUUUAGAUAUAUUCUUACUAGAAAAUUACUACAGAUUUACUAAGCAGAAUGUUAAGUGAAAUGACAUAGUUGGCAUUUGCAAGUGAAGAAACCAACUACAGAAAAACAUGUAUUUAUCCUUUUUAUCAAUCAUUAGGCUCAGACUGCAUGUGACAGGAGUAAUUAACUUUAAAACACAUAGAUAUUGCCAAUUUAUGAUGAACUUGAGCCUCUGAAGUAUUCUUCAUAGAACAUGUUUCAGUAAAAAGAUAAAGGGAAGUUGUUACAUAGUUUAUCUGGAAGAACAAGUGACAUUUAACAUAUAACAAGUAACUUCCAAUCCAAAUUAAGAGGAUUACAUCAGGCUUCAAAUACAAUGUUAUAAAGCAAUUUUUUUAAAAAAAAUCCCAGUUUUCAUAAUGAAGCAUAUAAAAAGAGAUCUUUCCAGGAGUGGGAUGCUACUGGUUCAGCCCAGUUCUAUAGAACCGGUAGCUCUGAAGAGCAGCUGACACCAAACCGGUUCACUGUUUGGCCCACCCACCCGCCUGGGCUCUAGGCUGUCCUUUUUCCUAUGCUUUUACCUCAGCUGCUUUGCGCAGCACAACUGAGUGCCGUUUGUCAGCUGGAGAAGGUAAAUGCUCACCGGAGCUGGUUGUGCACGUGUGCAUUUGGCACGCGUUUGGCGCGUGUUUGUCAUACAUACGUGCAUUCCCCGAACCGGUUGUUAUGCCAGUAGGAUCCCACCCCCUGGAUCUAUCAGUAUACAUCCUAGAACUACAAUUAGAUGGACUUUUUUCUUGUUUUUUAAGAAUAUUACAAAUAUUUGUUUCUAUCUUGUGGAGACAUUAAUUUCAACCCUGUAAGUUUUCCUAUUGCUAGCUAUCUCCCUGAAUCAGAGAUUUUCCUUAUAUCUCACAAAAAUGUACAAAAAUGACAGACAGAAGGUAUACUCAAAACCUCUGAAAACAGUUUUUCUCAAUACACCACAAUGCUACUAUAUGGAAUAGAUUCUUUAGACCAGGGACUUCAAAAGUGGCUUCAGGAUAGAAAGCUAUCUGAAGCCUUAAUGUCAGCUUCUUCAGAUCAGAUGAUAUUUUCACCCUACAGUCACCAAUGUUUGCAAUCACACAAUGGACUUUAGCAUAUUUUACCCAACUGCCUGAUGUUCAAUGAACCUAAAAGGGUUUACAGCCAAUGGCAAACAUCCCUAUGACUGAUGUUACCAGAUAAGAAUAGCACUGUACCUGGAUACUGUCAAUAACUAUAUUUUGCUGCUUACUACUGAAUGUCUACCCUAAAGUAUUAUUGGUGAAUGCAGUCCAGUAGCCAUAAAUCUUCAAGCAUCAAAAAUCUUCUUUACUUCCACUAAGAGGAGGAGAGUUUGAUCUGACAGGAGUUUUG